GACGAACGCUGGCGGCGUGCUUAACACAUGCAAGUCGAACGGAAAGACCCUGCUUUUUUGGGGUGCUCGAUUGGCGAACGGGUGAGUAACACGUGAGUAACCUGCCCUUGACUUUGGGAUAACUUCAGGAAACUGGGGCUACUACAGUAUAGCAGCUCACGUUGCAUUGUGGGGGUGGGAAAGUUUCGGCGGUUGGGGUUGGACUGGCGGCUUAUCAGCUUGUUGGUGGGGUAGUGGCUUACCAAGGCUUUGACGGGUAGCCGGCCUGAGAGGGUGACCGGCGACAUGGGGACUAAGGGAGGGACCAGACUGCAACAGGGGGCAGUAGGGGGAAGUAUUGCACAAUGGGAGGAAGCCGGAUGAGGCAGCGUCGGGUGCGGGAUGACGGCCUUUGGGUUAAAAACAGCUGCCGCCUGUGACGAAGCGUGAGUGACGGUAAUGAGAAAAGAAGCACCGGCUAACUACGUG
rnacentral:rRNA from 1 species